CUUUCGAAAGAAAGAUUAAUACCCGACAGUAUAAUGAUUCCGCAUGGUUUCAUUAUUAAAGGAUUCCGUUAAAGGAUGGGGAUGCGUUCCAUUAGGUUGUUGGUGAGGUAACGGCUCACCAAGCCUUCGAUGGAUAGGGGUUCUGAGAGGAAGGUCCCCCACAUUGGAACUGAGACACGGUCCAAACUCCUACGGGAGGCAGCAGUGAGGAAUAUUGGUCAAUGGGCGUUAGCCUGAACCAGCCAAGUAGCGUGAAGGAUGAAGGCUCUAUGGGUCGUAAACUUCUUUUAUAUAAGAAUAAAGUGCAGUAUGUAUACUGUUUUGUAUGUAUCAUAUGAAUAAGGAUCGGGUAACUCCGUGCCAGCAGCCCCGGUAAUACGGAGGAUCCGAGCGUUAUCCGGAUUUAUUGGGUUUAAAGGGAGCGUAGGUGGACUGGUAAGUCAGUUGUGAAAGUUUGCGGCUCAACCGUAAAAUUGCAGUUGAUACUGUCAGUCUUGAGUACAGUAGAGGUGGGCGGAAUUCGUGGUGUAGCG
rnacentral:rRNA from 1 species